GACGAACGCUGGCGGCGUGCUUAACACAUGCAAGUCGAACGGAAAGGCCCUGCUUUUGUGGGGUGCUCGAGUGGCGAACGGGUGAGUAACACGUGAGUAACCUGCCCUUGACUUUGGGAUAACUUCAGGAAACUGGGGCUAAUACCGGAUAGGAGCUCCUGCUGCAUGGUGGGGGUUGGAAAGUUUCGGCGGUUGGGGAUGGACUCGCGGCUUAUCAGCUUGUUGGUGGGGUAGUGGCUUACCAAGGCUUUGACGGGUAGCCGGCCUGAGAGGGUGAACGGCGACAAUGGGACUGAGAUACGGCCCAGACUCCUACGGGAGGCAGCAGUGGGGAAUAUUGCACAAUGGGCGGAAGCCUGAUGCAGCAACGCCGCGUGCGGGAUGACGGCCUUCGGGUUGUAAACCGCUUUCGCCUGUGACGAAGCGUGAGUGACGGUAAUGGGUAAAGAAGCACCGGCUAACUACGUG
rnacentral:rRNA from 1 species